UUUAACAGCCUGCCCACCCUGGAA
rnacentral:snRNA from 1 species